AACACCUUCGCGGAGUAGCUUCAGCUUGUCUCCGUUCCGUUUCUCGCCCGCUCUCGCUCAUAGACGCGGUAAACAAAGCUCUAAUGAAACUUCUAACGAGUCAAAUCUUAUUAUCAUUCAGAAUGGAGCGAGGCGGACGGAAGAAGAGACGCGUUUCGAGAGACGGAGGAGAGCCCGUUGCUGAAGAAGGUUACGUUCCUUCAUUUGAGGAGUAGCGCAUAAUUCUUAUAUUUCAAUAUAAUCCUUAUAAUUAUGGGUGAGAUGAACUAUUUCUUGGAGCAAAAUCUGGAAUAUUUAUGACAUACCCUAACUUUUUGCGCUCCGGAAGGGUCCAAGGAGAACAAUAGUCGAGAUGGUAGAAGAAAACGAAGCUGGGAGAUGAAUUGGAAAAGGUUGAAGCGCGAAAAGCCGUCCCAAGGCAGAGACAACCGGAAUCUGACUGAAGCACAAAUUCGGAUUAUUCUCAAUUAAUUAAAUACCAACCGACAGCAGCCACCCCUUAAAGCUAUUCUCGAUCUUGUAGAAAGAUAUCCAUUCAAAGACAGAUUAAUUAAUUCCGACAUUCAACAAAGUUGUAAUAUAGCGUCGCCGCGCUGCUGUUUAAUAUCAUUUAAUACCAUUUAAUUGGAAAUAUAUAAUAUUUUCUCAUUC